rnacentral:rRNA from 1 species
GACGAACGCUGGCGGCGUGCCUAAUACAUGCAAGUCGACCUUAGUGGCGAACGGGUGAGUAACACGUGGGUAACCUGCCCAUCAGAAGGGGAUAACACUUGGAAACAGGUGCUAAUACCGUAUACUGAUGGAUGGACCCGCGGUGCAUUGGCUAGUUGGUGAGGUAACGGCUAACCAAGGCCACGAGGCAUAGGCGACCCGAGAGGGGGAGGGGCCACAGUGGGACUGGGACACGGCGCAAACUCCGACGGGAGGCAGAAGUAGGGAAGCGUCGGAAAUGGACGAAAGUAUGACCGAGCAACGCCGCGUGAGUGAAGAAGGUUUUCGGAGCGUAAAACUCUGUUGUUAGAGAAGCGGUAUCUAACCAGAAAGCCACGGCUAACGACGUGCCAGCCGCCGCGGUAAUUC